GAAGGCCUUCGGGUUGUAAAGCUCUUUUGUCAGGGAAGAAACGGUGAGAGCUAAUAUCUCUUGCUAAUGACGGUACCUGAAGAAUAAGCACCGGCUAACUACGUGCCAGCAGCCGCGGUAAUACGUAGGGUGCAAGCGUUAAUCGGAAUUACUGGGCGUAAAGCGUGCGCAGGCGGUUUUGUAAGUCUGAUGUGAAAUCCCCGGGCUCAACCUGGGAAUUGCAUUGGAGACUGCAAGGCUAGAAUCUGGCAGAGGGGGGUAGAAUUCCACGUGUAGCAGUGAAAUGCGUAGAUAUGUGGAGGAACACCGAUGGCGAAGGCAGCCCCCUGGGUCAAGAUUGACGCUCAUGCACGAAAGCGUGGGGAGCAAACAGGAUUAGAUACCCUGGUAGUCCACGCCCUAAACGAUGUCUACUAGUUGUCGGGUCUUAAUUGACUUGGUAACGCAGCUAACGCGUGAAGUAGACCGCCUGGGGAGUACGGUCGCAAGAUUAAAACUCAUAGAGAUUUGAC
rnacentral:rRNA from 1 species